UUUUUUUUUUUUUUUUUUUUUUUUUUGUAUUUUUAGUAGAGAUGGGGUUUCACUGUGUUGGCCAGGAUGGUCUCAAUCUCCUGACCUCGUGAUCCACCCGUCUCAGCCUCCCAAAGUGCUGGGAUUACAGGCAUGAGCCACCGCGCCCGGCCUCCCUGAUUGUUGCUAAGUGGGUGCUUUAAAAACCUCAGUAAGAGCCUGGCACAGUGGCUCAUGCCUGUAAUCCCAGCAAUUUGGGAGACCAAGGUGGGUGGAUCACCUGAGGUCAGGAGUUCGAGACCAGCCUGGCUAAUAUAGUGAAACACCAUCUCUACUAAAAAUACAAAAAUUAGUUGGGCGUGGUGGCACACGCCUGUAAUGCCUGCUACUUGGGAGGCUGAGGCCGGAGAAUCACUUGAACCUGGGAGGCAAAGGUUGCAGUGAGCCAAGAUUGUGCCAUUGCACUCCAGCAUGAGCAACAAGAGCGAAACUCUGUAAAACAAACAAACAAACAAACAAAACCUCAGUAAGAGUGGAAGUGGUUUACAACUAUUGGUGCCAUGACAACAGAUAAAUCGGAAAAAGGGAACUUCAGGAACAAUGUGGUCGGGAUGGAGGUGUUGGAGGUUGUUUUUUCUUUUAAUUAACAAAAAAAACAGGAACACAUUUAGAAGUAAAUAGAGGGCCCAAUUUUCUCUUUUUGGUCUGAAAGGGGCUUCAAAAAAUUGUUUUCAAUGUUAAACAGAAUAGCAAUGGCAAUGAAGAUAGUGAGAAGCACAACCAUCUGUUUAGCAUGAUGUCCCCGUGGGGGCUGGGGGAGAGAUUUCCUCUAUUUACAGGGGAGACUGAGGCUCAGAAGGGUCAAGUGCCUGGCCCAGGCGCCUCGUCCUGUUAGAGGAGGGCACAGCUGAGGAGGACGGAGGCUGCAGAACCCCAGGGAGUCUCAGCUCUCCAGCCCAGGUGCAGCUGCCCCUUGGGCAGACAGCCUGGAACACAUCCGCUCAUUAGUGGCCUACCCAGGCAGCUGGCCGAGCGCCUGUCCCCGAAGGCCUUCCUGAGCUCAGAGGCUCCCCAGCCCUGGCACUGAGGGUGCAAUCCCAGAGCUGCUUUCCCAGGCUCGUUGCACAGGCAGGUGCAGCCCAGGUGUCUGACAACUUUGGCUCCAGCGUCAUGGACUCCACAUCUAAGACCUUGUGGGACACCCAGGAGUUUUGAGCUCAGCAGUGAGCUCGGAGCUUGAGCUUGGGUUGCAGAAUCCAAAAAUCAAUUAAUGUGGGGCUUCAGGGGACAUCUGUCUGACCGGUGGUUUCGUAAAAUCUUCAAUCACUGUGAGACAGAAGAUGUGUGCUGCAUGCUGUGGCUGGGGCAUGCGUGGCUGCAGCUGCCGCCAAAUAGGAAGGGCCCCCGCAGUGCCUCCAUCCUGCAGCCGUGACUUUCUUCCCAAGUGCAGUGGGGUGCGGGAGGGGGGGAGUGUCUUGGGUCAAGGGGCUCUCCAGGCAGCUCUGCCUCCUCCAUAGUCCUCCAGGCCCCCUUUACUUGAAGAAUAAGCAACUAGCCCUAUGGCAGUCAGUUCUAAGGGAGAGGGGCCUGAAGUGUCAGCAAGAGUCAGAGCCAGGCACCUGGCAGAGCCGUGAGGGGCAGAGGCAAUGGUGAUGGGAGCCAGUGAGACCAGAGCGUGUGUCAAAUCUCCCCUCUGAUCAUUUUGGAACAAGUGCAGUGAGCUGGAGUUGGAAGUGUUCCCAAAUUGCAAUCAUCUGGGGUCUUCGUCUGUCUCUUCUCCCGGUUAGUUUGGCAUCGGAUGUGAGGGAGGUGCUCUUCAUCAGUCACUGGGCUCAUGAAUGGUCCUCAUUUCCCGAAUCCUUCUGCAUCGUUCUCUGAAUUCGGCAGGGGCACGUCUCCCCGGGCUGAC
rnacentral:lncRNA from 1 species